rnacentral:lncRNA from 1 species
AUGCAUGUCCUGAUUCCGCCACUAGAGGUCACUGUCCCACCACAAUCUCCCCACGCCGAGUUCCACCUCCCUUCCCUCUUAACUCAAAUUAGCACGGUAUUAAUUAACACUGUAGUCUAUCAACCGGCGUUCCUCGGCACACUGCAAAGGCAGGGUUUGUGUAGAACAAAGAAAACAACAACAAACACUAACGUUCAUUUUAUUUUCCAAGGGCCACCAAACAAAUCCUUCGUCAUCCCUCACAAACCGGAAGGCGGACGUCCAAGAAUCAGACAUCUGGAGAUAAUGAUACGGCAUGACAAUCACACAAAAAAGAUGCAGGACUUUUCUAACUUGAUCUGAAGAUGCCAGGCAAGGUGUGUUCUCUGCCACUAAGAGCAGUAAAGGUGAACCCAGUUCACAACCCAGAACAUUAUAAAUCACCUGAAGGAUCCCUCUGAUAUCUGCACACACAUUCAGCAAUGCAGUUGUGCCUCAACUUAUGAACGUCCCAAUGUAUGACAAAUGUGAGUUAGGAGCAGUUGUGCCUCAACUUAUGAACGUCCCAACGUAUGACCAAUUUGAGUUAGGAGCAGCUCCAGCUGCAAAAUGUUGCUUCGACUUGUGACCAGAGCUUUCAGUUACAAUCAGAAAAAAGGUGAGGGAAAAGGUGUGGAAUUUAAAUUACUAACCAUUGGUUGGUGAAGAGCCUACUUCUCUGUAGCUCGUUCACCCCAACAGUUAGAGAGAGUGUGUCGGAAGAGGUUUUGGACUGCCUGGUGCUGCUUUCUGCUUUUUACAGUAAAAUGCCUGUUCUGAUUGAAUACAGGGUUUUGCAGGGUGGGUUUGAGCUGGGGGGGGGCUCAUGUGGUUUUUUCCAGCCCCAGUGCAUUCCGAUGGAGCCUGUUGUGUUGUUUUGUUUUUUGGUGAUUUUUCCCCAGCCCCAGUGUGUUCUGAUGGGGCUUGCGGUGGUGUUGUGUUUUUUGUGGGGGUGGGUUCCCCCCCCAGCCCCAGCACAUUUCAAUGGGGCUUGUUCUGUUUAUUUGUUUUUCUGUGAUUUUUUUUCAGCCCCAGCACAUUCUGAUAAGGCUUGCUGUGUUUUUUUGUGGGGUGUUUUUGGUGAUUCUGCCCCCCAGCCCAAAUAGAUCAAUGGGAUUUCAAUGCUUCCUAUGGGAAAUUGUUCUUUGAUGUAUGACCAAUUCAAGUUAUGACCAUCUUCUGGAAUGGAUUAAGUUUGUAAGUCAAGGCACCACUGUAUAGGGAUUCUAAAUGGCCAACGUCUUCCACCUCAAAGCAGCACCUUAAUAAAUGUAGAGCAGCAUGUGCA